AAGGUGCUUCUGUGACUGGAUGUAUCUGA
rnacentral:piRNA from 1 species